rnacentral:rRNA from 1 species
GACGAACGCUGGCGGCGUGCUUAACACAUGCAAGUCGAACGGAAAGGCCCCCACUUUUUUGGUGGGGGUGCUCGAGUGGCGAACGGGUGAGUAACACGUGGGUGAUCUGCCCUGUACUUCGGGAUAAGCUUGGGAAACUGGGUCUAAUACCGGAUAGGACCAUGGUUUAGUGUCUCAUGGUGGAAAAAUUAUUGUUUUGGUGCAGGAUGAGCUCGCGGCCUAUCAGCUUGUUGGUGGGGUAAUGGCCUACCAAGGCGUCGACGGGUAGCCGGCCUGAGAGGGUGGACGGCCAGAUUGGGACUGAGAUACGGCCCAGACUCCUACGGGAGGCAGCAGUGGGGAAUAUUGCACAAUGGGCGCAAGCCUGAUGCAGCGACGCCGCGUGGGGGAUGACGGCCUUCGGGUUGUAAACUCCUUUCGUUAGGGACGAAGCCGCACCUUUUUUGGGUGUGGUGACGGUACCUUUGUGAAGAAGCACCGGCUAACUACGUG